GAUGAACGCUGGCGGCGUGCCUAAUACAUGCAAGUCGAGCGAACAGACGAGGAGCUUGCUCCCCUGACGUUAGCGGCGGACGGGUGAGUAACACGUGGAUAACCUACCUAUAAGACUGGGAUAACUUCGGGAAAACGGAGCUAAUACCGGAUAAUAUAUUGAACCGCAUGGUUCAAUAGUGAAAGACGGUUUUGCUGUCACUUAUAGAUGGAUCCGCGCCGCAUUAGCUAGUUGGUAAGGUAACGGCUUACCAAGGCGACGAUGCGUAGCCGACCUGAGAGGGUGAUCGGCCACACUGGAACUGAGACACGGUCCAGACUCCGACGGGAGGCAGCAGUAGGGAAUCUUCCGCAAUGGGCGAAAGCCUGACGGAGCAACACCGCGUGAGUGCUGAAGGUCUUCGGAUCGUAAAACUCUGUUAUUAGGGAAGAACAAAUGUGUAAGUAACUAUGCACGUCUUGACGGUACCUAAUCAGAAAGCCACGGCUAACUACGUG
rnacentral:rRNA from 1 species